AAGCCAACCUCAGCCAUCACUACCGCCGGGCUAGCACGCUUCAGAUUAUGGAAGAACUGUCCAUCCAGGAGUGGACAGAGAUGAGGACAGGUGUCUGGACCUCACCUGAGCCCCCUGACCCUGCCUUUUCCACAAGGGACAGCCAGCCUGAGCAGCCUACAGGAGGCAUGCCCGGUGCUGCUGACAGACUGACAGCCCGGCGGAGGCGAGUGACAAGUAGGAUGCUUAGG